ACGAAGCGGUGGAUGAUGUGGAUUAUUCGAUGCAACGCGAAAACCUUACCUACCCUUGACAUGUCCGGAAUCCCGAAGAGAUUUGGGAGUGCUCGCAAGAGAACCGGAACACAGGUGCUGCAUGGCUGUCGUCAGCUCGUGUCGUGAGAUGUUGGGUUAAGUCCCGCAACGAGCGCAACCCUUGUCAUUAGUUGCCAUCAUUUGGUUGGGCACUCUAAUGAGACUGCCGGUGACAAACCAGAGGAAGGUGGGGAUGACGUCAAGUCCUCAUGGCCCUUAUGGGUAGGGCUUCACACGUCAUACAAUGGUCGGUACAGAGGGUUGCCAAGCCGCGAGGCGGAGCCAAUCCCACAAAGCCGAUCGUAGUCCGGAUUGUUCUCUGCAACUCGAGAGCAUGAAGUCGGAAUCGCUAGUAAUCGCAGGUCAGCAUACUGCGGUGAAUACGUUCCCGGGUCUU
rnacentral:rRNA from 1 species